ensembl:lncRNA
CCCCCCUUCCGCUGGAUCUGUUUGAUCAAAAAUGGACAAAAUGGAGGAUCCCGGCCGCCGUUUGAAGACAGUGAAUCUGUGAGAGGUUGCGGGUUGGAUUCCGAGGUGCAGGCGGAGGAGCUCAGUCCGAGGAGCUUUUUUUGUUGUGUUUCUUGCUCCCUUCUGGCCUGGUUCUUCUCCCAGGACGCUGUCUUUUGUUGCCCUCAGGACGUGACUAAGAAUGUCUCCGAUCUUCCAGAGGAGCCGUCCCACUCCCCUGUCUUCCCGAACAAAAUGUCCUCCCGAACCUCUGAGAAAACACACAAUUUGGAUUCUUCCAUUCACCCCUCUCCCCCCCCUGAAUGGAAUCCCUACUCUGCAGGAACCAUCCACUCUUCCUCACCAGCUAUUUGUACCGGCGCUAUUGGCUUUCCCUUAAGUGGACACGAGAAUGAAGGAACGCAUUGGCGGGAUUUUUACCUGGACGGAAGGAUUGUCCACACGGAUGCAGAAGGAGUCAGAACCAACAGCAGCAUCAUCUCCAAGAAAAGAAAAUACACAGAGGGAUUCUCAAACCGCCGCGAAGCUCUCCCCCUCCAAACAGGAUCCCGCUUUUCGGCUUUUGACGUGACCACGCUUCUUCCUCAUCGUCUUCCUCCUCCCGCCCCCCCCCUGCCGACUCAUUCGAGUCUCCUUCCGACGCCGAGGAUGAAAUUUAGAAGAAAAAAUAAAAUCACACCCUCGUGCGUCCGGGACGCCGCAACACGUCGACCCGGCGGACCAGAGUCUCGUGGUCAUCCAGCGAACGGGCUGGAAUUACUAUGAAUGAUUUUGACAGCUUGAAAAUAAAAAAGACACUACAAAGAAUGUAAUAUAAUGGAGAAGCCCUGCUCCAGUGGACAAUGUACUUUUAUUUUGAAAGUUACAUUUUAGUUUUUUUUACUUUCUAUUUUCAUUGUUUUGUUGUGUUAUGUGUAAAGUAACAAACGUUUGUUUUGAGCGUGCGAAUGACUCGUGUGUGUGUGUGUGUGUGUGUGUGUGUUGAAAACGUCUUUGAAGUACUAUCAGUAAUUGUGUCGGUUUUAAAGCCACUUUCGAGGAAGUGAAGAUGACAGAAAUUUACAGUUUUUAAACGUGAAAAACUGGACUGUUAUUUCUUUCUUUUCUUUUUUUCCCGCUUUCGUGUCAUUAAGAAAAUCAACAAAAACUUGGUCAGCAGUGGCAUUUAUCUGUGGACGCACGGGGGGGGGGAGGAGCUCCGUCUCCGUGGUAACAGUUUGAGAUGACGCCCCUGGAGGAAGAUCCGAGCAGUGAGGUGAAGGUGUCUAAGGAGGGAAAUCUGAUGGGUUAUUUUAUUUGUAUUUUUCUCAGAGCACAUCAUACAGGUUUAACCCACCGGACUAUAUCCUUGUUUUUCCCUUGAAACUAUACUUAUGCGAAUGUUUCUGAACUCGUCAUAUAAUACAACACCUCCGUCCUUAAUACAGCUCUACUGCUCUUUCUUCGUUCUUUGGCAAUGCGUCGUUCUUUUAGGGUUUUUUUUUCUCUUUAUUCGAAAAGAAAAAAGGACCUGUUUGGAAAAUAUGCAAGACAUGUUGGGAAGGAGAAGGAAACCAGAAUGUACUGUAAAAUACUUCUUUCCUUUACUUAAAUGUUGGACAUUUGAAGAAACAAAAAAAAAAAACAAGUAACAAAAAGCCAGAGUUAAUGUUUGUCAUCGUAUGCCUUCCGUUGCCAUAUGAUCUAAACAUGUAGAUCUAACGUUCUCUCAAUCUUUAUUUGUCAUUUUUUAUUUGACAUGAUGACAUGUUUUUCUUUCUUUGCCUUGUUUGUUGUUUUUGUCAAGGAGCUCUAGGUACAUGUAACUUAUGUCAUUUAUUUAUGUCCUUUUAUAUCUAGUUUGUAAAAUAAUAGCCUAAAGUGAAGAAAAUAAAAGGGGGUGCCAAAGUGCAUUCUUAAUAAAGUAGAAACCAUACGACG